rnacentral:lncRNA from 1 species
GUUUUUCUGUAAGCUUUUAAUCUUUGGAGCUCCACUGAGAGAUGGUAUUAUGCAUGUUCUCAGAGUGCAUAUGGCUUUUGUAACAUGACUUUAAAUCCAACCAGCUAGAGUGAGCUCUUCUGUCCUCACAGGGAGAACUCCAAUGCAAUGAUGUGCGAUAAAGACGAAGAACUAGAGACACUACGCAAUGAGAUUGCAGUGCUUCGUGUGGAAAAUGCCAUGGCCAAGACGCUCCAGUCGGCCGUGACGUCUCUGGAGAGGGACAAAGCCCAGCUGCAGAGCCGAGUGAACAGCCUGGAGCAAAAGCUGGAGGGCCGGCAGACGGGGAACAGAGAGGAAGUCACUUCAGGUGAUGCUGCUAUAGACCAUCUGAGAGAAGAGAAAGAGUUUGCUGAGGGACAGGUAAAACUCUUCUGCUCCAUAUUU